AUUGAACGCUGGCGGCAGGCCUAACACAUGCAAGUCGAGCGGUAGAGAGAAGCUUGCUUCUCUUGAGAGCGGCGGACGGGUGAGUAAUGCCUAGGAAUCUGCCUGGUAGUGGGGGAUAACGUUCGGAAACGGACGCUAAUACCGCAUACGUCCUACGGGAGAAAGCAGGGGACCUUCGGGCCUUGCGCUAUCAGAUGAGCCUAGGUCGGAUUAGCUAGUUGGUGGGGUAAUGGCUUACCAAGGCGACGAUCCGUAACUGGUCUGAGAGGAUGAUCAGUCACACGGGAACUGAGACACGGUCCAGACUCCUACGGGAGGCAGCAGUGGGGAAUAUUGGACAAUGGGCGAAAGCCUGAUCCAGCCAUGCCGCGUGUGUGAAGAAGGUCUUCGGAUUGUAAAGCACUUUAAGUUGGGAGGAAGGGCAGUAAAUUAAUACUUUGCUGUUUUGACGUUACCGACAGAAUAAGCACCGGCUAACUCUGUG
rnacentral:rRNA from 1 species